UUUGAGACGUUUGUAUCUAGUCUUGCACUGAGGGCAAUGUUGGGUGCCUUCUCUCCUUUCAUACUCGUAGCAAGGUCUACACACCGGAAAACCACACUCGUUGCAGGCGACGAAGAGAUCUCCAUCCACUAUGUUGAGUCAGUACCUCUUCAUGGUUAUGAAUUACAACAAGCUCGUUGCGGUUGUGAGACCCUGCAACUAGUCCGGCACUAGCUUCCAUUGUGGCCGGGGCAAAGGAGAGAAUAUUGAGAUAGAAUUGAUGAGGAGUUUGCACCUUAUUGUAGUCAGGGAGUUGUUUUUAUGAAUGGGAAGAGUAGGGUCUCUGAACACUAUCACCUAAUCUUUCCAGGUCAGGUGAUGUUGUGUUGGUUGCAGAGUCUCCAUUGCCUUGAAGUUAAGCUUCCUCUAUUUUUCAACUACCAUGACCACCUUGGAUUUUUUUUUUCCUUCCAACGACCAUUUCUGUGUCUAAAACUAGAAUACAUAUGUAUGAAUUGAUAUAUGUGUAUGUAUAUGUAUACCUUUUAUA